GACGAACGCUGGCGGCGUGCCUAAUACAUGCAAGUAGAACGCUGAAGAGAGGAGCUUGCUCUUCUUGGAUGAGUUGCGAACGGGUGAGUAACGCGUAGGUAACCUGCCUUGUAGCGGGGGAUAACUAUUGGAAACGAUAGCUAAUACCGCAUAACAAUGGAUGACCCAUGUCAUUUAUUUGAAAGGGGCAAAUGCUCCACUACAAGAUGGACCUGCGUUGUAUUAGCUAGUAGGUGAGGUAACGGCUCACCUAGGCGACGAUACAUAGCCGACCUGAGAGGGUGAUCGGCCACACUGGGACUGAGACACGGCCCAGACCCCUACGGGAGGCAGCAGUAGGGAAUCUUCGGCAAUGGGGGCAACCCUGACCGAGCAACGCCGCGUGAGGGAAGAAGGUUGUCGGAUCGUAAAGCUCUGUUGUAAGUCAAGAACGAGUGUGAGAGUGGAAAGUUCACACUGUGACGGUAGCUUACCAGAAAGGGACGGCUAACUACGUG
rnacentral:rRNA from 1 species